CCUACGGGUGGCUGCAGUGGGGAAUAUUGCACAAUGGGGGGAACCCUGAUGCAGCGACGCCGCGUGAGUGAAGAAGUAUUUCGGUAUGUAAAGCUCUAUCAGCAGGGAAGAAGAUGACGGUACCUGACUAAGAAGCCCCGGCUAACUACGUGCCAGCAGCCGCGGUAAUACGUAGGGGGCAAGCGUUAUCCGGAUUUACUGGGUGUAAAGGGAGCGUAGACGGGUAGGCAAGUCUGGAGUGAAAGACCGGGGCCCAACCCCGGGACUGCUUUGGAAACUGUCUAACUAGAGUGCAGGAGAGGUAAGCGGAAUUCCUAGUGUAGCGGGGAAAUGCGUAGAUAUUAGGAGGAACACCAGUGGCGAAGGCGGCUUACUGGACAGUAACUGACGUUGAGGCUCGAAAGCGUGGGGAGCAAACAGGAUUAGAUACCCUUGUAGUC
rnacentral:rRNA from 1 species